GCAGGAAGUGGAGGGGAUGAUGGGGGUAGAGCUUCCUGCAGACAGAGAGGUUUCUGGGAAUGGAUCUGACCCAGCCCUGGCUGCUCCUUGCAGGGGAAAAGGAAGUCCUUCCCUUCCCAGCCCUGCUGAGAUUAGCAGCUGAGUCUGGCACACUGGGUAGGAGCCAUUAGCUGGGGU